GCAGUCGAACGAGAAAGGCCCCUUCGGGGGACGAGUAGAGUGGCGCACGGGUGAGUAACGCGUAGGUAAUCUACCCUUAUGACUGGGAUAACAUUGGGAAACUGGUGCUAAUACCGGAUACACUUCUUUACUGCGGGGUAAAGGAGGAAAGGUGGCCUCUUGGUCAAAGCUACCGUAUAGGGAUGAGCCUGCGUACCAUUAGCUAGUAGGCGGGGUAACGGCCCACCUAGGCAACGAUGGUUAGCGGGUCUGAGAGGAUGAUCCGCCACACUGGAACUGGAACACGGACCAGACUCCUACGGGAGGCAGCAGUGAGGAAUAUUGCGCAAUGGGGGAAACCCUGACGCAGCGACGCCGCGUGAGUGAGGAAGGUCUUCGGAUCGUAAAGCUCUGUCAGAAGGGAAGAAGUGUUAUAUGGUUAAUACCCAUGUAAUUUGACGGUACCUUCAGAGGAAGCACCGGCUAACUCCGUGCCAGCAGCCGCGGUAAUACGGAGGGUGCUAGCGUUGUUCGGAAUUACUGGGCGUAAAGGGCGCGUAGGCGGCUGGAUAAGUCAGAUGUGAAAGUCCACGGCUCAACUGUGGAAGUGCAUUUGAAACUGUCCGGCUUGAGUAUCGGAGGGGAAAGUGGAAUUCCCGGUGUAGAGGUGAAAUUCGUAGAGAUCGGGAGGAACACCGGUGGCGAAGGCGACUUUCUGGACGAAUACUGACGCUGAGGCGCGAAAGCGUGGGGAGCAAACAGGAUUAGAUACCCUGGUAGUCCACGCCGUAAACGAUGUGAACUGGAGGUAGGUGGUGUUGAUCC
rnacentral:rRNA from 1 species